AGGGUGCUGUAGCUAUAAAACAGUUCUCCGACAACUAAUGAGAUUCAGAGCUCCUGAGUGUGAAGAAAGUCACUUUCUCCAAGAAUAUAAUCUGACAUCGCUUUGGGAUUCCAUUUAUGAAAAUGUUGACGACCAGGCUUGUGGUAUUAUGUUUAUCGUUCUUCUGCGCCCUUGUAGUAGUUGACGACCUGGUGAAUGCCUCACCAAGUUUCUAUACUGAUUACGAAAACUUACGAGAUCUAUAUGAGCUUCUAUUGAGGAAUGAAGCCUUACCACCAGUUGCACGAUUUACUCACCAGAUGGAGCGCAAAGGCGGUCGAUCACCAUCUCUUCGACUGCGAUUCGGAAAGCGAGCAGAUUCAUUCUGGUCUCCUUAUUUUUCAGCCGAGGCAAUGGACGAACCAGAAAAUUAAUAUUUUCAAAGCUUGACAUUUAUAGGAUCUCUUCUCCUUUCUUCACUUCGAAGUUCACAUUAAUUUUGAGUAACUUUUCAUUUCUUACUUUCGUCUUAUUAGCUAAUUACAAAACAUCGUUUUAAGAAUAUAUAUAUUUUAUUUGUUGUGAUUACAUGAAAAUCAAGGGGUAACUAUCUUCUUAGCCUCUAAAAUGGUGUGUUCACAUCUUUAAAAAUGAAAACAUCAGAUUUAUGUUAGCUAUUUAAAUAAACAGUUGGUUCCCUGAAAAUCUUC